rnacentral:misc_RNA from 1 species
GAUGAAGAACGCAGCGAAAUGCGAUAAGUAAUGUGAAUUGCAGAAUUCAGUGAAUCAUCGAAUCUUUGAACGCACCUUGCACCCUUUGGUAUUCCGAAGGGUAUGCUCGUUUGAGUGUCAUUGUACUCUCACACUUCUAAUUCCUUUCGGGAUUGGGAGCGGUGGACUUGGGUGUUGUUGCUUUAGUUGUGGCUCACCUCAAAUAAGUUAGUGCAACUCUUGGUUGGACAUAGUACGGCGUGAUAAGUGUCUUCGCCGGCGCCUCUGUAAGGAGGGUGGCCGAUCGGGAGCUCUGUGCUUCAAACCGUCUUCGGACAAUCUUUGACAACUUGACCUCAAAUCGAGUAGGACUACCCGCUGAACUUAAGCAUAUCAAUAAGCGGAGGA